rnacentral:rRNA from 1 species
CCUACGGGAGGCAGCAGUGGGGAAUAUUGCACAAUGGGGGAAACCCUGAUGCAGCGACGCCGCGUGAGUGCAGAAGUAUUUCGGUAUGUAAAGCUCUAUCAGCAGGGAAGAAAAUGACGGUACCUGAUUAAGAAGCCCCGGCUAACUACGUGCCAGCAGCCGCGGUCAUACGUAGGGGGCAAGCGUUAUCCGGAUUUACUGGGUGUAAAGGGAGCGUAGACGGCAGCACAAGUCUGGAGUGAAAUGCCGGGGCUUAACCCCGGAACUGCUUUGGAAACUGUGCAGCUAGAGUGCAGGAGAGGUAAGUGGAAUACCUAGUGUAGCGGUGAAAUGCGUAGAUAUUAGGAGGAACACCAGUGGCGAAGGCGGCUUACUGGACUGUAACUGACGUUGAGGCUCGAAAGCGUGGGGAGCAAACAGGAUUAGAUACCCCUGUAGUC